AUGAAACUGAGCUGAUCCUUCGUCUUCGAGAAGCUCUUACAGUAAUUGAUCUCAAAACUCCAACUGUGUUUAAAUGUUAAUUGUAUUGGUCCAUUGCAUUUGUUUUAAUACCUAUUAAUUAUCUUAUUUAGUUUGAUAUUAACUUUUAUAACCAUAUAUUUGUAUAAUUUCUUAUUGGUUGAUAAGUUCUACAUUAAGUUUAA